rnacentral:rRNA from 1 species
AGCAGCCGCGGUAAUUCCAGCUCCAAUAGCGUAUAUUAAAGUUGUUGCAGUUAAAAAGCUCGUAGUUGAAUUUCGGGGUUAGUAGGUUGGUCAUGCCUCUGGUAUGUACUGGUCUCACUGAUUCCUCCUUCCUGAUGAACCUUAAUGCCAUUAAUUUGGUGUUUUGGGGAAUUUGGACUGUUACUUUGAAAAAAUUAGAGUGUUUAAAGCAAGCUAACGCUUGAAUACAUUAGCAUGGAAUAAUGAAAUAGGACGUUCGAUCCUAUUUUGUUGGUUUCUAGGAUUGACGUAAUGAUUAAUAGGGAUAGUUGGGGGCAUUAGUAUUCAAUUGUCAGAGGUGAAAUUCUUGGAUUUAUUGAAGACUAACUACUGCGAAAGCAUUUGCCAAGGAUGUUUUCAUUAAUCAAGAACGAAAGUUAGGGGAUCGAAGACGAUCAGAUACCGUCGUAGUCUUAACCAUAAACUAUGCCGACUAGGGAUCGGAUGAUGUUAAUUUUAUAAUGACUCA